rnacentral:rRNA from 1 species
UACAGAGGUGGCAAGCGUUGUUCGGAAUUACUGGGCGUAAAGGGCGCGUAGGCGGCCUUCUAAGUCAGACGUGAAAUCCCCAGGCUUAACUUGGGAACUGCGUCUGAUACUGGGAGGCUUGAGUGCGGGAGAGGGAUGUGGAAUUCCAGGUGUAGCGGUGAAAUGCGUAGAUAUCUGGAGGAACACCGGUGGCGAAGGCGGCAUCCUGGACCGACACUGACGCUGAGGCGCGAAAGCUAGGGGAGCAAACGGG